CCUACGGGUGGCAGCAGCGGGGAAUAUUGCACAAUGGGGGAAACCCUGAUGCAGCGACGCCGCGUGAAGGAAGAUGGUUUUCGGAUCGUAAGCUUCUAUCAGCAGGGAAGAAGGAAGUGACAGUACCUGAGUAAGAAGCCCCGGCUAACUACGUGCCAGCAGCCGCGGUAAUACGUAGGGGGCAAGCGUUGUCCGGAAUCACGGGGUGGAAAGGGUGCGUAGGCGGUAGGGCAAGACAGAAGUGAAAGCCCGGGGCUCAACCCCGGGAUUGCAUUUGAAACUGUCUUACUAGAGUGCAGGCGAGGAAAGCUGAAUUCCUAGUGAAGCGGUGAAAUGCGAAGAUAUAAGGAAGACCACACGUGGCGAAGGCGACUUUCUGGACUAUAACUGACGCUGAGACACGAAAGCAUGGGGAGCAAACAGGAUUAGCUACCCGGGAAGUC
rnacentral:rRNA from 1 species